GGAGUUAGCCGGUGCUUCUUCUGUGAGUGAUGUCCUUCCUGCCGGUUAUUGACCCGCAGGCCUUCUUCCUCACUGAAAGUGCUUUACAACCCGAAGGCCUUCUUCACACACGCGGCAUGGCUGGAUCAGGGUUGCCCCCAUUGUCCAAUAUUCCCCACUGCUGCCUCCCGUAGGAGUCUGGGCCGUGUCUCAGUCCCAGUGUGGCUGAUCAUCCUCUCAGACCAGCUACGGAUCGUCGCCUUGGUGAGCCGUUACCUCACCAACCAGCUAAUCCGACAUAGGCUCAUCCGAUAGCGCGAGGCCCGAAGGUCCCCCGCUUUCCCCCGUAGGGCGUAUGCGGUAUUAGCCCUGGGUUUCCCCCAGGUUAUCCCCCACUACCGGGCAGAUUCCUAUGCAUUACUCACCCGUCCGCCGCUCGCCACCAGGGAGCAAGCUCCCCGUGCUGCCGCUCGACUUGCAUGUGUUAGGCCUGCCGCCAGCGUUCAAUCUGAGCCAGGAUCAAACUCUGA
rnacentral:rRNA from 1 species